CAUUGUUUCCACCCACUCAUGGGUGCUGUGGACUCUCCAUGUGUCCAUGGGGUGGAUGCGGCAUCUUCAGCUGGGGUCCAUCUCUUGGCUCCACGUACCCUGGGAGAGUCCGGGGAAUGGCACUGCACAGACAUGUUUUUCCGGAAGGUUAAUUGUCCCUCGUUCCUUCACAGAGGUAUCUCCUGUAACCGGGACGUCUGAUGGUGUUCGAUGCAAAUUCUCAGGCUUCAGGCUCGUCUGGUCCCCAAAGUUGCCUUAUUUACACGCACAUCCCACUGUCCUUGUGCCUGGGCAGUGGAAGAACAUAAGUGGGAGGAAGACGUGGUCAUUUCCAGGGCUACAUCAGUUGCCUCACUGUUGGCAUCUGGACAUAAGAAAAUAGCUCACUUGACGCAUGCUGGUGGGAAGCCACCCCGACUUCAUCAUUCACCGAAGAAGGGCUUCCUGAUGGAUGGGGCACAGGGCUGCAGAAGUGGAAGCCAUGUCUGGGGAGCUAAAGGGUGCUUGGAAGAAUGGAAGCCCUUUCCACUGAGGAGACUUCAGCGGGUCACCACCCCCUUGUGA
rnacentral:lncRNA from 1 species